GUAGUCUGCAACCCGACUACAUGAAGCUGGAAUCGCUAGUAAUCGCGGAUCAGAAUGCCGCGGUGAAUACGUUCCCGGGUCUUGUACACACCGCCCGUCACACCAUGGGAGUCGGAAAUGCCCGAAGUCAGUGACCCAACCGUAAGGAGGGAGCUGCCGAAGGUGGAGCCGGUAACUGGGGUGAAGUCGUAACAAGGUACC
rnacentral:rRNA from 1 species